UACACACCGCCCGUCACGUCAUGGGAGUGGGUAACACCUGAAGUCGGUGAGCUAACCGCAAGGAGGCAGCCGCCCAAGGUGGGACUCGGCGACUGGGACGG
rnacentral:rRNA from 1 species